ACUCCUACGGGAGGCAGCAGUGGGGAAUAUUGCACAAUGGGGGAAACCCUGAUGCAGCGACGCCGCGUGAAGGAUGAAGUCUUUCGGUAUGUAAACUUCUAUCAGCAGGGAAGAUAGGACGGACCU
rnacentral:rRNA from 1 species